rnacentral:precursor_RNA from 15 species
UCUAAAUUUCGGUACAAUGGGCUGAUGUGCAGUGGUGCUGAGAACCUGCAGUUCCCAUUAACUUUAGUGAAAUCUGGAGAUGCUCAGCACUUCUGAACAACAGAUCACUUUUAUCUACAUGCCUAA